AAGAAAUGCCGCAUCCAAGCGAGUGAGCGAGCGAAGUGAGAGAGGGAAACACUUCUACGAGCCUACGUUCUUUGUUAAUGUUAAUAUCUACAGAGGCAACGCCUGGACGCGUUUGAUUUCUUUCAGUCCGGCCUCUCCGCAGCUUCCAGACACACUAAUGACACGGCCUGGAGACAUCGGCGGGCUCUUUGAUACACGACGGGACUUGUUUUUAUUGAUUGCAGCAGUCUGGAAAAAGACAAAAACAGAAAACCAAGGAUCGGUGAGGGAACAUUAUAAAGAUAAAGAAUCUCAAAGGGAUAUUGGACCGCCCAGACCAGAGAAAGAAAAUUUCUUGUGAACUGCUUUCACAAAACAAAAGGUUUUGUUUGAGCAAUUGAAUAGUUUUAUGGCCAUAAUGCUAAGAUUAUUUUUCU